rnacentral:lncRNA from 1 species
UAACUCUAGUUGAUUAACUAACUAUCUAUAUUCAUAACAGCCUCCCUCAAACUCAACAUUGGAAAGUUUACCAAUUUGAGUUUGAAUUACAAUUAUUUUCAACAUUUAUAUUCAACAUUUAUUAUGUGAAAAAUUGCAACCUGAAACAUAGAAAAUUGUAGUGCAAGCACUGCAGUGGCACAAAAUGACAGUAAAAUCCUACAAGCUAUGACACUAAGACUUAAGAGGCCAAAGAAAAUUUCCACACUUGUUGCUGGCCUUGUGUGUCACGUAGCUUAUACAUGCCCAAUUCUAUUUUGAUUCAUCCUUCUGCAAUGUGUUGCCCCUGCCUUAUCUUCCUGUAGUUGAAUGUUCUCGAACAUUGCACAAUUGACAGAACAAUUGAAGAGAAAAUUGGUACAAAAUAUAGCACUGCA